AAAAAGUUUAAAACUUGGAAAACUUUUAGGGUUCCUUCUGUUUCUUUUUUCGUUCAUUAUUUGGUUUGGCGAUUUUUUCUUUUUAGAAGAGAGAGGGGUAUACUAAAAUUUACACUUGUUGGUGUAAUUGCAUUUUACUCGAUUCCAUUAGACAUUCCAUUGGUGAAAUAAUGAGUCACCGUUGAUAUCGACAUAUCGGAGAUCACCAAAUGUUCGAGAGUUCCUCUAUUCAGUCUGAGAGACGAAAGCUGAGGGAGCGAAUGAGAAUAGAUACCUCAGUAGUCCUGGUCGUAAACAAUGGAUAUUAGGCACUAUGCUUAUCAACCCAUGCAGUGUUGUAGCUAACGUGGUAAGUAUCCUACCU
rnacentral:rRNA from 1 species